rnacentral:misc_RNA from 1 species
GAUGAAGAACGCAGCGAAAUGCGAUAAGUAAUGUGAAUUGCAGAAUUCAGUGAAUCAUCGAAUCUUUGAACGCACCUUGCGCCCUUUGGCUAUUCCGAAGGGCAUGCCUGUUUGAGUAUCGUGAACACCUCAACUCUCAUGGUCUGCCAUGAUGAGCUUGGACUUUGGGGGUCUUGCCGGCCUAGCGUCGGCACCUCUCAAAUGGAUCAGCUUGCCAGUGUUUGGUGGCAUCACAGGUGUGAUAACUAUCUACGCUUGUGGUUUUCUACCAUGUAACCUUCAGCGAUGGAGGUUCGCUGGGGCUCACAGACGUCUCUCCUUGGAGGACAGCUUUUUGAACGUUUGAUCUCAAAUCAGGUAGGACUACCCGCUGAACUUAAGCAUAUCAAUAAGCGGAGGA